CCCGAUCCCACAAACCCGGGAUCGUGACCUGGGUCGAAACCAAGAGGCAGAUGCUCAACCCUCUGAGCCACCCAGGCGCCCCCCAGAAAGGACCUUCUAGAACUCUAAAGUAGUGUAUCCGUGUUUACUGUCCUUGCUGCCACGGGGAACACUAAUCAGGAACCCCUUCAUUAUUCCACUGGAAAAAAAGUUUAUUGCACACCUGGAUGCCUUCUACAACUAUUCCGAUGAGACUCUGGCACACGUUAUUCCCACAUUUUCCAAGGCUCUUCAGAGCUCCAAGCCCUGAGGAAUUCUGUGACUUCACACUUGCUCAAAAUAUGAAUCUGAAAAUAAAAUUAAUCUAUGGAAUAUAAAAAAGUCAGUUGAAAAGACUCAAUGACAUGGACCCUUCUGUAAGUGAGCAGCAAAGCAUUAACUGGCCUUAAGAGACUUCCAUCAGCAGCCAGGUGCCUUGCAGUUCCCGGGAGUUCUAGAUCCAAGACUCCCUCAGCACCAUCUUCCCGGAAACACUGCUUCAGGGUCAUUACCACAAAGAGAGAAGUGUUCAAAAGCACAGGAAAUUGAAGUUUGGAAAUAUCCAGUAACUUGCUGGCCCAGUGUUAUGUCAUAUGGUUGGUAAGUGGCACAGCCAGGACUUUGACCCAGGCCCCAGUCUUCCUGGUAGGUCAAGGCACUGAGCUGGAAAGACAGAUUCCAAGCGAGAUCUUUGCAUCGCUGCUCCCAAGUACCAGCUGUGGAAAAAUCUGUAACUUUUGUUACAGACAGGUGUAUUGGGCAAAGUCUGAGCCAAGCUGGCCCUGAGGUGUUAUUGUUCCUGCCCUCCAG